rfam:Dracunculus medinensis genome assembly, scaffold: DME_scaffold0000004
ACUGGUUGGCAGUGUGGUUAGCUGGUUGUCAGAAUAAUUAAGGGAACAACGGCUAUCAACACUGCCCUACUAGU